UGGGGUAUCGCCAAGCGGUAAGGCACCGUUUUGAUCUCGGCAUCCCUAGGUUCGAAUCCUAGUACCCCAGCCA
rnacentral:tRNA from 1 species